AUCUUCCAUGGCUAAACUACUUCUACGACCCUUUUCACAUCAAAGAAAGAUGCCUAGCACUUGUUCCUCGGGUGAAGAAACUCGUAAAGAAGAUUAUAGAAGAACAUGAUCAAAGUAAAAUGCCUAAAAAGCUCAUUGAUAACUCUGAUUUUGUUGAUGUCUUGCUUUCUUUGGAAGGAGAUGAGAAACUUGAAGAGGAUGAUAUGGUGGCUGUUCUAUGGGAAAUGAUCUUUCGAGGCACUGAUACUACUGCACUUCUAACUCAGUGGGUGAUGGCGGAGUUGGUUUUGAACCCUGAAAUUCAAGCCAAGCUUAGGAAUGAGCUCGAUUUCGUUGUAGGAGACGGGAGCGUCACAGAUGCUGACAUCCCUAAAUUACCCUACCUUCAGGCACUAGUCAAGGAAACCCUACGUGUGCACCCUCCAGGGCCCCUCCUAUCAUGGGCCCGAUUGUCUUCGUCUGAUGUCCACCUCAGCAAUGGCAUGGUCAUCCCUAGUAACACAAUUGCAAUGGUCAACAUGUGGGCCAUAACCCAUGACCCGAUAGUUUGGGAUGACGCGUUGGUGUUCAAGCCGGAAAGGUUCUUGAAGAGUCUAGGUGGUUCAGACGUGGAUGUGAGAGGUGGUGACCUCAGGCUUGCACCAUUUGGUGCAGGGCGUAGGGUUUGUCCUGGCAAGAACCUAGGGCUUGUGACAGUGAACCUCUGGGUGGCUAAGUUGGUGCAGCAUUUUGAAUGGGUUGAGGACGCUGCCAACCCAGUUGACCUCAGUGAGGUGUUGAGGCUGUCUUGUGAAAUGAAGAAUCCUCUCUCUGCCGUGGCUGUUCCCAGAAAUGGAGUUAAGCUUUUCUAGGGUUUACGCUUUGAUCCAAGAAUUGAGCUGGUGCAUGGCAAAAUAAAAAAAGAUAAAUUGGGAUGAAUAUUAUAUACUAUGGUUGUGAAAAUUAGAAUGUCGGUGAAAUGGGUGGCAUAGUAAUUAAUGGUGUUUGGAUGUUAAUUAAAUAAGUUGUUGAAUUAGUCUGGUCUUUCACCUUUGUUUUUAGAAGAGAGUGUGUGUCUUAUAUUGUAAGAAAAAAGUUUGACUAUGUUUGAAAGAAA
rnacentral:misc_RNA from 1 species